GAAGCGUCAGACCUCUGCUGUUUAGAAAAUAAGCAUAUCAGAUUUUUCCUGUUGAGAGAUAUUUAUACAUCAUACGGCGUGGAAAUGUACAAUACUUUGUUAAAAUCGGAGGAGGAGUGGAUGUUCAGAGGACUAGAUAAACCUGACCUGGACAUGAAAUUUCCGGACUACUGUGCUAUUCUAGGAGGG